rnacentral:rRNA from 1 species
CGGGCGUAGCAAUACGUCAGCGGCAGACGGGUGAGUAACGCGUGGGAACAUACCUCUUGGUUCGGAACAACACAGGGAAACUUGUGCUAAUACCGGAUAAGCCCUUACGGGGAAAGAUUUAUCGCCGAGAGAUUGGCCCGCGUCUGAUUAGCUUGUUGGUGAGGUAACGGCUCACCAAGGCGACGAUCAGUAGCUGGUCUGAGAGGAUGAUCAGCCACAUUGGGACUGAGACACGGCCCAAACUCCUACAGGAGGCAGCAGUGGGGAAUAUUGGACAAUGGGCGCAAGCCUGAUCCAGCCAUGCCGCGUGAGUGAUGAAGGCCCUAGGGUUGUAAAGCUCUUUUGUCCGGGAAGAUAAUGACUGUACCGGAAGAAUAAGCCCCGGCUAACUUCGUGCCAGCAGCCGCGGUAAUACGAAGGGGGCUAGCGUUGCUCGGAAUCACUGGGCGUAAAGGGUGCGUAGGUGGAUUUUUAAGUCAGGGGUGAAAUCCUGGAGCUCAACUCCAGAACCGCCUUUGAUACUGAGAGUCUUGAGUUCGGGAGAGGUGAGUGGAACUGCGAGUGUAGAGGUGAAAUUCGUAGA